CUAACGCUGGCUUCAACCACCAUAGAAAAGGACAAAGUGUCACUUGUCAAUGUCACCUCCUUCCUGCCCAACGUGACUCUGAUCCUGAACAUCAAUUCUGCAACAAAGGCCGACACUGGAAACUACUGCUGCAUGACCCAACCGCCCGACACAAUCAGCCCCUCAGUACUGAUUCAGGUCGCAGAUAACCUGACAAGACAAACAUCUAGCCUGACCACCACAAGUUCACCACGGUGUGGAAACGCCCAACAAACCAGCAGGGCAGCAGGUUUGCAGGGUCAGAUGUGGUACUGGAUGCUUCUGGGAAAAACUGCCAUCCUCCUCCUCAGCUUGGCCUUCCUGGCUGUGAAAUGCAAGAGAGGAUGAGAGGAAGAAGGAUUCAGAUAUCUCUUCACAACAAAGCUUUGCGUCUACCCAGUGGUGUGCACAGACAUUUAGGGGAUCAGGUGCUCAGUGAAAAAAAGGGCACUUUGUGUGGCGUGUAGAACCACUGGCUGCCUUAAUAUAACAGUGUGAG
ensembl:lncRNA